rnacentral:rRNA from 1 species
UACGAAGGGUGCAAGCGUUACUCGGAAUUACUGGGCGUAAAGCGUGCGUAGGUGGUGAGUUAAGUCUGUCGUGAAAGCCCCGGGCUCAACCUGGGAAUGGCGAUGGAUACUGGCUCGCUAGAGUGCGGUAGAGGAGAGUGGAAUUCCCGGUGUAGCAGUGAAAUGCGUAGAGAUCGGGAGGAACAUCAGUUGCGAAGGCGGCAUUCUGGACUGUAACUGACACUGAGGAACGAAAGCCAGGGGAGCAAACGGG